rnacentral:rRNA from 1 species
GUGGGGAAUCUUGCGCAAUGGGCGAAAGCCUGACGCAGCCAUGCCGCGUGAAUGAUGAAGGUCUUAGGAUUGUAAAAUUCUUUCACCGGGGACGAUAAUGACGGUACCCGGAGAAGAAGCCCCGGCUAACUUCGUGCCAGCAGCCGCGGUAAUACGAAGGGGGCUAGCGUUGCUCGGAAUUACUGGGCGUAAAGGGCGCGUAGGCGGACAGUUUAGUCAGAGGUGAAAGCCCAGGGCUCAAACUUGGAAUUGCCUUUGAUACUGGCUUUCUUGAGUACGGGAGAGGUGAGUGGAACUCCGAGUGUAGAGGUGAAAUUCGUAGAUAUUCGGAAGAACACCAGUGGCGAAGGCGACUCACUGGCCCGUUACUGACGCUGAGGCGCGAAAGCGUGGGGAGCAAACAGGAUUAGAUACCCCGGUAGUCC